AAACUUUCAACAACGGAUCUCUUGGCUCUCGUAUCGAUGAAGAACGCAGCGAAAUGCGAUAAGUAGUGUGAAUUGCAGAACUUUGUGAACCAUCGAAUCUUUGAACGCAAAUUGCGCCUUCUUUCGGAAGGCAUGUCUGUUUGAGGGCACC
rnacentral:rRNA from 1 species